rnacentral:rRNA from 1 species
CCUACGGGGCGCUGCAGUGAGGAAUAUUGGUCAAUGGACGAGAGUCUGAACCAGCCAAGUAGCGUGAAGGAUGACUGCCCUAUGGGUUGUAAACCUCUUUUGUAUGGGAAUAAAAUGUUCCACGUGUGGGAUUUUGUAUGUACCAUAAGAAAAAGCAUCGGCUAACUCCGUGCCAGCAGCCGCGGUAAUACGGAGGAUCCGAGCGUUAUCCGGAUUUAUUGGGUUUAAAGGGAGCGUAGGGGGAUUGUUAAGUCAGUGGGGAAAGGUUGGGGCUCAACCGCAGAAUUGCAGUUGAAACUGGCAGUCUAGAGUAGAGUAGAGGUGUGCGGAAUUCGUGGUGUAGCGGUGAAAUGCAUAGAUAUCACGAAGAACUCCGAUUGCGAAGGCAGCUCACUGGCUUGCAACUGACACUGAGGCACGAAAGUGUGGGUAUCGAACAGGAUUAGAUACCCCAGUAGUC